CACCAGCUUCAACUCAUGGCUCUGCCCUCCCUAAGGAUACCCUUUUUCUGCCCUCCCUGGGUCCCAGAGAUGGAGAAUCCCAGUAUUGAGAUGGCCAGCAUCUGAAGCGUCCUGGCGAGCAGAACAGGCCUGGCUAUUAAUUUCGGAAUGCUUCAGCAGGUGAAGAAUACUUUUUUUGUAGCCAUGCAUUACCUGGCUCUCUCACUGGGCUUCUUGCGUCAGACCAUGGAAACCUUGAUCUUUGCUUAUUUGGCCUCAGUGUCAUUGGCUGCCUCACAGGGCCUUUUCCCAAGGCUGGAGAACGUGGGUGCUUUCAAGAAGAUAUCCAUUGUGCCAACCCAUGCCACAUGUGGAUUGUCAGGGCCCAGUACUUUCUGUCAUAGUGCGGCAGAUGCUAAAAGUGUGCAGCUGUGCACCCAGAGAGUGUGUAUCCAGGCCUGUCCCUACCGCUCUGCUUCUCCUCCCUACACUGCCCUCCUACAAGGCCUCCAGAGCUGCCUCCCAGCAGACCACACUGAUCUCCAUCCUUACUCCAGAAGCAAUUCCACAAGCUUCAUAUUCAGAAGUCACAAGAACUGUCCUUCUCUACAAGCUCCGAGGCUGGCAGCAGAAUUUACCUUAGCUGUGUGGUUGAAGCCUGAGCGAGGAGGCGUGAUGUGUGUGAUGGAAAAGACAGUAGAUGGGCAGAUUGUGUUCAAAGUUACAAUAUCUGAGAAAGGGACCAUGUUUUAUUAUCGCACAGUAAAUGGUUUGCAGCCUCCAAUAAAAGUAAUGACACCAGGGAGAAUUCUUAUGAAGAAAUGGAUUCAUCUCAGUGUGCAGGUGCAUCAGACAGAAAUCAGCUUCUUCAUGAAUGGUUUGGAAGAGAACAAUACAGCAUUUGCUACAAGGACUCUCAGUGGUUCAAUUACAGACUCUGCCUUCAGCACUAUACAAAUAGGACAGAGUUUAAAUGGUUUAGAGCAGUUUGUUGGAAGAAUGCAAGAUUUCCGUUUCUACAAUGUGUCACUUACAAACAGAGAAAUUCUGGAGCUCUUUUCUGGAGAUCUCCCCCACUUGCACACCCAGCCAUAUUGCCGCUGCCCAGGCAGCCACCCCCGUGUCCACCCCUUGCUCCAGCAGUACUGCAUUCCCAAUGGUGCAGAAGACGGACCCCAUCAUCAAGUGUCACGGUUGAAUCCCGAAGCCCAUCCUCUCUCCUUCAUCAAUGAUAAUGACAUGGAUACUUCAUGGAUUUCCCAUGUAUUUGCAAACUUUACGCAGCUUAAUCAAGGAGUGAUUAUUUCCAUAGACUUGGAAAAUGGACAGUACCAGGUAUUUCAAAUCAUCAUUCACUUCUCCAGCCCACAGCCUGCAGCAAUAAGGAUUCAGAGGAAGAAGGUGGACAGCUCUCCCUGGGAGGACUGGCAGUAUUUUGCUAUUAAUUGCAGUAUUUGGAGAAUGAAAGAUAAUGGAGAUUUGGAAAAUCCUGGUUCUGUCAACUGCGUUCAGUUUCCUGAUUUUACCUCAUUCUCCCAUGGUAAUGUCACCUUGGACCUCCUGACCCCUGGACAGAAGCAGCGUCCUGGGUACAAUGACUUCUACAGUAGCUCACUGCUUCAAGAGUUCAUGCAUGCCACUCAAGUGAGGCUGCACUUCCAUGGGCUGUCCUCUCCAGCCGAGCGCACUGCUGACCCGAGACACAGAUACUAUGCAGUGGAUGAGAUCACCGUCAUUGGGAGAUGCCAAUGCCAUGGACACGCUGAGACCUGCGACAGGACCAGGCAGCCUUAUAGAUGCCUCUGCUCUCCACAGAGCUUCACCGAAGGGCCUCAGUGUGAUCGCUGCCUGCCUCUUUAUAAUGACAAGCCUUUCCGUAGUGGCGAUGGUGUUCAUGCAUUCAACUGUAAGCCCUGUCUGUGCAACAGCCAUGCCAGAAGCUGCCAUUAUGAUGCUUCUGUGGACCCAUUUCCUCUGGAGCACAGCAGAGGCAGUGGAGGAGUCUGUGACGACUGCCAGCAUUACACAACAGGGAGAAACUGUGAGUUGUGCCAGGAUUACUUUUACCGACCUGUUGGUGCAGAUCCUUCUGCUCUCGAUGUCUGCAAGCCAUGUGACUGUCACCGUGCAGGGACUAGAAAUGGCAACCUCCUCUGUGACCCGAUUGGAGGCCAGUGUGAUUGUAAGAGACGUGUGUCUGGCAGACAAUGCUUUCAGUGCCUGGAUGGAUUCUAUGACCUGCAGGCAUCGGAUCCUGAUGGCUGCCGCCCCUGUAACUGCAAUCCUUCUGGGACUGUGGAUGGAGACAUUACCUGUCACCAAAAUUCAGGCCAGUGCUUGUGUAAAGCGAACGUUAUUGGGCUUAGAUGCAAUCGCUGCAAUUUUGGAUUUAAAUUUCUCCAGAGUUUUAAUGAUGAUGGAUGUGAGCCCUGCCAGUGUAACCUCCAUGGCUCAGUGAACCAACUCUGCAAUCCACUUUCUGGGCAGUGUGAGUGCAAGAAAGAAGCCAAAGGACUUACUUGUGACACUUGCAGAGGAAACUUCUAUAGGUUGGCCGGCAGUGCUUGCAAGGCCUGUGACUGUAGUAUAGCUGGCUCCCAGCCUGGGACCACCUGUGAUGCGGAGACAGGGCAGUGUAUCUGUAAAUCCAGUGUUGGAGGGAGACAGUGUGAUCAAUGUCUGGAGGGCUACUUCAACCCACAGCAGAAGUCCUUCCUCUGUUUGCCUUGCAACUGCGAGAAGACUGGGACAGUAAAUGGCUCUCUAUUGUGUGACAAAUCAAGUGGGCAGUGUCUUUGCAAAUCAGGAGUAACAGGUCUGCGCUGCAAUCAGUGUGAGCCUCACAGGUUCAAUUUGACCAUGGGCAAUCUUCAAGGGUGCCAGGUGUGUGAGUGCGACUCCUUGGGGACAUUACCUGGAAGCAUUUGUGACCCUGUCAGUGGCCAGUGCCUAUGUCUGCCUCAUCGGCAAGGAAGAAGGUGUGAGCAGUGUCAGCCAGGCUUCUACAUUCCUCCUGGCCAUGCUGCUGGCUGUCUACCAUGCUUAUGCCAUACAGUUGGGGCAGUGAGCCAGGUCUGUAACAGCAUCACUGGGCAGUGCUCUUGCCGUGACCCCUCGACCACUGGGCAGAGAUGCUACCAAUGUCAAGACCGUUACUUUGGAUUUGAUCCUGAGACUGGAAGAUGCCAGCCUUGUCACUGUCAUCCUGCAGGAGCCUUGAAUGAAACUUGUGAUGUGGUCACAGGCCAGUGUUUCUGCAAACUGUUUGUCACUGGCUCCAAGUGUGAUGCUUGUGUUCCUGGUGCAAGCCACUUGGAUGCCAACAAUCUAUUAGGCUGCAGCAAAACUCCAUCCCAGCAACCUCCACCCAGAGGAUGGGUUCAAAGUUCUUCCUCCAUCAAUCUCUCCUGGAGUCCACCUGUUUUUCCCAAUGCCCACUGGCUUACUUACACUCUGCUCAGGGAUGGUUCUGAAAUCUACACAACUGAAGAUCAGCUCCCAUACUAUACUCAAUACUUCUUUGACACUAACCUGUCACCACACACGUCAUAUUCAUAUUAUAUAGAGACCUCCAGUGUACACGGUUCAACCAGGAGCAUAGCUGUCAUUUAUAAGACAGAACUAGAGGUCUCAGAAGGACACUUGAACUUGACGCAUGUCAUUCCUGCUGGCUCUGACUCUGUGACACUUACUUGGACUGCACUCCCCAACCAGUCUGGUCCUAUAGAGAAGUAUGUUGUAUCAUGCACACCUAUGGAUAGCACUGAGCCCUGUGUCUCCUACGAAGGUCAGGAAACCUCAGCUACCAUCUGGAAUCUGGUUCCAUUCAGCCACUACCGUUUUUCUGUCCAGGGGUUUACUAGUGGGGGCUGUUUACAUAGCUUGCCCAUUAUAGUAACCACAGCCCAGGCACCCCCCCAAAGGCUGAGGCCACCUGCAAUACGGAAAAUCAGUUCCUCAGAACUCCACAUAGAAUGGUCUCCACCGGGGAAACCAAAUGGUAUAAUUUUAAGAUAUGAAUUAUACAUGACGAGAUGGCCAUCUACUAAAGAAAGUCUCAUGUUUGAGAGCAGUGGUUGGCUCAGUCCUCACCCACCUGCAAAGUUACCCAACAAGAGUGAAAACACACUUCAGCCUCCCCAAGUCAAUGUGUCCAUCUCUGGCUUGGAGCCAUACACAGAGUAUGCAUUCCGGGUCUUAGCUGUGAAUAUGGCUGGCAGUGUGUCAUCGGCCUGGGCCUCAGAAAGAACAGGAGAAUCAGCACCUGUGUUCAUGCUACCUCCUUCCAUUUCUCCACUCUCGUCACACUCUCUCAGUGUCUCCUGGGAGAAGCCAGCAGAACACUUUACAAGAGGAGAUAUUAUAGGGUACAACAUCAACAUGGUUUCUGAACAGUCCCCCCAACAAGAUGUUCCAGUGAUGUGUUCAAAGCUAUUGCAUUCUGCUAAGUCCCAGGACCUGUCUUACAUUGUAAAGGGACUAAGGCCUUAUAGGAUCUACACCUUUACUGUCUCCCUCUGCAAUUCAGUGGGCUGUGUAACCAGUGCUUCAGGAGCAGGACAAACCCUAGCAGCUGCUCCUGCUCAACUAAGGUCUCCCAUGGUGACAGGAGUCAACAGCACCACAGUCCAUCUUGGGUGGCUUCCUCCUGAAGAAGUCAAUGGUCCACCUCCUGUGUACUACCUAGAAAGGAGGGAUUCCUCUCUCCCAGCUCCCAUGGCUGUUAUGACAAAGGGAACCUGCUUCAUGGGAGAUGGUUACUGCAGAUUUCCCACGACAGCUCACCCAGAUUUUAUAGGCAUCAAGGCCAGCUUCCGGACAAGGAUGCCUGAAGGGCUGAUCAUCCUCGCAUUGUCCCCUGACAACCAGGAAGAGUAUUUUGCCCUUCAACUGAAGAAUGGCCGUCCAUAUUUUCUUUCCAAUCCCCAGGGAUCACUAGUGGAGGUUACCACAACUGAUGAUCAUGGUAAACAAUACAGUGAUGGACAGUGGCAUGAAAUCAUUGUGGCUAGGCAUCAGGCUUUAGGCCAAAUUACCCUUGAUGGACAGUAUACAGGCUCCUCAGCUUCUCUAAACAGGAGUACCAUGAUGGGAGGCUACACUGGACUGUUUGUGGGCGGGCUGCCACAAGGUCACUCCAUCCUCCAAAAACGGGUUGAGAUAAUCCAAAGAGGCUUUGUGGGCUGCCUCAAGGAUGUGUACGUUAUGAAGAGUUAUAGCCCCUCUGUGACUUGGAUGCCUCUGGAUUGGCAGAGUUCCGAGGAGCAGGUUAACAUGUAUCACAGCUGGAAGGGGUGCCCCACUGCCCUGGAGGAAGGAGUCCAGUUCCUGGGAGCAGGAUUCCUGGAGCUCCGUUCAGAUACAUUUCAGGCCACAAAGGACUUUGAGAUUUCCCUGAAGUUUCAAACCAACCAACUAAAUGGAUUGCUUCUUUUCAUUCACAACAAAGAGGGACCGGAUUUUCUUGCUAUGGAGCUGAAGAGCGGGCUGCUGAGCUUCCGGUUAAAAUCCAGUCAUCACUUUACACAAGUGGAUCUCUGGCUGGGCCCAGCCUAUGGUGAUGGAAACUGGAACACAGUCAUUGUUAGAAAGGAAGGCUCCCUGGUGUCACUUAGCGUGAAUCAACUCAUGGAGCACACCUCACAGACUGGAGCCCAGACUCUGCAGGUGAAUUCACCCAUCUAUGUGGGCGGGAUCCCACAGGAGCUACAGGCCUCCUACAGCUUCUUGACUCUGGAGCAAGGGUUCCGUGGCUGCAUGAAGGAAGUUGCAUUUACACGGGGUGCUGUCGUUAACUUGGCAUCUGUGUCCAGCCGUGCUGUCAGAGUCAAUCAGGAUGGAUGCCUGUCAAGUGACAGCACUGUUAACUGUGGGGGAAAUGACUCCAUCCUGGUUUAUUGGGGAAGCCAGCAGAGUGUUUACGAGAGCGGGCUCCAGCCCUUUACAGAAUACCUGUAUCGGGUCACAGCCUCCCAUGAAGGAGGUUCAGUGUCGAGCGAUUGGAGUUGGGGACGCACAACAGGCACAGCUCCAGAGAGUGUGCCAACUCCCUCAAGAGCCCAGAGCAUAAAUGGAUAUAGCAUUGAGGUGGCCUGGGAUGAACCCACUGUGGUUAAAGGUGUGCUGAAGAAGUACAUCCUGAAAGCCUAUGAUGAGAACAGCCCCCAGCCCCACAUACCCUCUGCUAGUGCUGAGCUCGAUGACACCAGCACCCAUACAGGCAUACUGACAGGACUGCGUCCCUUCCAGAGCUAUGCCAUAACUCUGACUGCUUGUUCUCGGGCGGGCUGUACUGAGAGCUCACGUGCUUUGAGCAUCUCUACUCCACAAGAAGCACCCCAAGAAGUUCAGACACCAGUGGCAUUGUCCCUUCCUGAUUCCUUGUCAUUAUCCUGGAGUCCACCCAAACAAGCAAAUGGGAUUAUUACUCAGUAUUCCUUAUACGUGGAUGGGAGACGGGUCUACACAGGCAAGGGACAGAACUACACAGUCACAGAUUUGGGGGUAUUCACAGCCCACGAGAUUGUACUUGGUGCAUGCACACAUGUGGGGUGCACAAACAGCUCCCAAGUUGUCCUGCAGACAGCACAGCUUCCACCAGAACAAGUAGAUCCCCCGACUUUGGCUGUCCUGGAUUCUAGAACUAUUCACAUCCAGUGGAAACAACCGAGGCAACUGAACGGAAUUCUGGAGCACUACAUAUUAUACACUUGGACUCCUACACAUAACUCCACAGUGUGGAACAUUGUCUACAACAGCACCAGAAACCUCCAGGCUUACCUGCUACAGCACCUUUCCCCCGGGGGUCUAUACCUCGUCAAGCUUGGGGCAUGCACAGGCGGUGGCUGUACCACAAGUGAGCCCAGCCAGGCCCUAAUGGAGGAGAUGGUUCCAGAAGACGUGGCAGCCCCCCAAGCCCACUCCUAUUCACCAGACUCCUUUAACAUCUCCUGGACCAAGCCUGGGUUCCCGAAUGGUGUGAUCAUAACUUAUGGGUUAUAUGUAGAUGAUGCAUUAAUUCACAAUUCUUCAGAACUCAGCUGCCAUGCCUAUGGAUUUGAUCCUGGGAGCUUGCACACCUUCCGAGUCCAAGCAUGUACAGCCAAGGGUUGUGCUCUGGGCCCAUUGGUAGAAAAUUGGACUCUAGAAGUUCCGCCUGAAGGCAUGGUCAAUGUACUUGUCAAAACUGAGGGAUCCCGAGAAGUCCACGUGCGUUGGGAAGCACCUCUUCACCCUAAUGGGCGCUUAACAUACUCAGUUCUUUUUACUGGAAGUUUCUAUGCAAAUCAAGCAGGGGAUAACUACACUCUUCUCAGUGGCACAAAAACCAUCCACAGCAGUGAAGGAAAGCAGCUCUGGGUGCUGGUGGACGGCUUGGUUCCUUACUCUCACUACACAGUACAAGUGAAUGCUUCCAACAGCCGAGGCAGCGUGCUCAGUGACCCUGUCUCUGUUGAAAUGCCUCCAGCGGCUCCAGAUGGCCUGCUGUCUCCCAGGCUUGCAUCUGCCACUCCAACCAGUCUUCAGGUUGUCUGGUCUACACCAGCUCGCAACAACGCUCCGGGCUCUCUCACGUACCAGCUCCAGAUGAGGCCCGGCCCCUCCACCCACCGCUUUCUGGAGUUGUUUCCCGAUCCUUCUGCAUCGUUAAGCUAUGAAGUGAGCGAUCUCCAGCCGUUCACGGUGUACAAGUUUCGGUUGGUUGCCACCAAUGGCUUUGGCAGCACACACAGCGCUUGGACUCCACUCAUGACUGCAGAGGAUGAGCCUGGACCAAUAGAUGCUCCAGUUCUUCUGAAUGUGAAAUCGAGAACGAUGUCAAUUGUUUGGCAACAGCCUGUGAAGAGCAAUGGGGUUAUUACCCAUUAUAACAUUUACCAGCAUGGCCGUCUGUCCUUCACAGCCCCCGGAAAUGUCACUAACUACACUGUGGCUUCUCUAUGCCCUCAUACGGCCUAUCAGUUCCAGGUAGAAGCCUGCACCUCCAAAGGAUGUUCCAAGUCCCCAGAGUCUCAGACUGUGUGGACACUCCCAGGAGCAUUGGAAGGCAUCCCAAGCCCAGAGCUGUUCCCAGAUACUCCAACAUCUGUCAUUGUAUCUUGGCAACCCCACCCCCACCCCAAAGGCUUGGCUGAGAACUUUACAAUCCAAAGACGAGUCAAAGGGAAUGAGGAAGUAAGAAGCCUGGUGACUCUCCCAAGGCGUCAUGGCAUGAAGUUUAUUGACAGGGACCCUGCCCUCAGCCCUUGGACACAGUAUGAAUACCGAGUUCUGGGGAGCUCUGUAAGUGGAGGCACAAGAAGAAGCGAGUGGGUAGAAGUUACAACAAGACCCUCCCGGCCUGCUGGAGUGCAGCCGCCCAGGGUGCAUGUGCUGGGACCAGAUGCAGUCAAGGUCACUUGGGAAGCCCCACUUAUCCAGAAUGGAGCCAUACUGAGCUAUGAGAUCCGCAUGCCCGACCCUCUCAUCACAAUAACCAAUGUGACCUCCACGGUGUCCAGUCAUCUAAUCAAACAUCUCAUGCCUUUCACUAACUACUCAGUCACCAUUGUUGCUUGCUCUGGAGGUAAUGGGUACCUAGGAGGAUGCACUGAGAGUCUACCUACCUCUGCUACUACCCAUCCAGCCCUGCCUCAGGAACUGGCCCCAUUGUCCGCUAUUCCACUAAGUGAAUCUUACGUUGGGAUUUCUUGGCAGCCACCAUCCAAACCAAAUGGACCAGAUUUGAGAUAUGAGCUUCUGAGACGCAAAAUCCAGCAACCACUUGCUUCAAAUCCCCCAGAAGAUUUAAAUCUGUGGCACAAUAUUUAUUCAGGAACUCGGUGGUUUUACAAAGAUAAGGGUCUUAGCAGGUUCACAACAUACGGAUAUAAGCUCUUUGUACACAACAGCAUGGGCUUUACGCCAAGCCAAGAAGUGACAGUGACCACCUCAGCAGGCUUUCCAGAGAGAGGCGCCACUGUCACCACAAGCGUCCUUAACCACACAGCCAUAGACGUGAGAUGGGACAAGCCAACUCUUCAAGAUCUACAAGGUGAUGUGGAAUAUUACACACUGUUUUGGAAUUCUGGGGCCUUGAACAAAUCCCUGAAAAUUUUCCCAGAUGUAGAUUCUCAUGUCCUUGGUGCCUUAGCUCCAAACACUGAGUAUCAGAUUAUCCUCUCUGUCUUCAAUGGAGUCCAUGGAAUCAACAGCACAGUUGUGCGUGUGACCACAUGUGAUGAGGAGCCUCAGGGCAUGCUUCCUCCAGAGGUUGUCAUCAUCAACAGUACAGCUGUACAUGUCAUCUGGACAUCUCCUUCCAACCCAAAUGGCAUUGUCACCAAAUCUUCUGUCUAUGUAAAUAACAAGCUCUGCCAGACUGGAGUGGAUGUGCCGGGGUCGUUUAUUCUGAAAGGCCUGUCUCCCUUCACUGUCUACAACAUUCAGGUGGAAGUCUGUACAAAAGAUGCCUGCAUGAAAAGCAAUGGAACCCAAGUCAGCACUGCGGAAGAUACUCCAAGUGACAUUUCAAUACCUAUAAUCCGUGAUAUUACUUCAAGAUCCCUUCAAAUAGAUUGGAUGACACCAGAAAAUCCAAAUGGUAUCAUUCUCGGAUAUGACCUUUUACGGAAAACAUGGCAUCCAUGCCAUGAAACCCAGAAGUUAACAGAGGGACACAGUGAUGAGCAAUGCAAGGCGGUCAAGUGUCAACACCCUGAAAAUAUCUGUGGGCAGACUUGCUAUUCUCCAGAAACUAAGGUUUGCUGCGACAGACUUCUCUAUGACCCUCAGCCUGGAUACAGCUGCUGUGAAGAGAAAUACAUUGCAUUUCUUCCAAAUUCCACUGGCAUUUGUUGUGGGGGCCGGAUCCAUGAGGCACAGCCAGAUCACCAGUGCUGCUCUGGGUAUUACGCUAGAGUUCUUCCAGGAGAGAUAUGCUGUCCAGACGAGCAACACAAUCGAGUUUCCGUCGGCUUUGGUGAUGCCUGCUGUGGCAGAAUGCCAUAUGCCACCUCCGGGAGCCAGGUGUGCUGUGCUGGGAGGCUCCAUGAUGGCUUCGGGCAGCAGUGCUGUGGAGGAGAGAUGGUGAGCCAGGACUUCACCUGCUGUGGUGGAGGAGAAAGGGGCAUGGUGUACAGUUACCUCCCAGGAAUGCUGUGUUGUGGGCAGGAUUAUGUGAAUAUGUCAGAUACCAUAUGCUGCUCAGCUUCCAGUGGCGAGUCUAAAGCACACGUUAAAAAGAACGACCCAGUGCCAGUAAAAUGCUGCGACACUGAACUUAUUCCAGAGAGCCAGCGAUGCUGUAAUGGAGUUGGAUAUAAUCCUUUGAAAUAUGUUUGUUCUGACGAGAUUUCAGCUGGAAUGGGGAUGAAGGAAACCAGAGUAUGUGCAACUGUCUGCCCAGCAUCCAUGGAGGCCACAGCACACUGUGGGCAGUGUGACUUCAAUGCCACCACCCAUAUCUGCACUGUGAUGAGAGAACCCCUCAAUCCCAUGGGCAGGGUGGCAAUGGACAGACUGUGUUCUUCAGUGGAGGAGAUAGUUUAUUCAGGAGAUGUAAAUGCACAAUCCUUCAUAGAUGUAGACCUUGAGCCCAGUACCAUGUAUGAGUACAGGGUUUCUCCAUGGAACAGCUUCGGGAGAGGAUUCAGCCAAUCUGUUAGAGCCAGCACAAAAGAAGAUGUGCCUCAAGGAGUCAAGGCCCCCAGAUGGGCCAGAACGGGCAACCCUGAAGAUACUAUUUUCUUAAACUGGAAGAAGCCCAAACAGUCAAAUGGUCCUAUAACUCACUACAUUCUCCUUCGAGAUGGAAGGGAGCGAUUUCGGGGAGCAUCGCUGAGUUUCACGGACACAGAGGGGAUUCAGCCCCUCCAGGAAUAUUCAUACCAGCUGAAAGCUUGCACAGCUUGUGGCUGUGCGGUCAGCAGCAAGGUCAUCGCUGCUCCCACCCGAGGAAUCCCUGAGAGUAUCUCACCACCAAACAUCACAGCCCAGGGACCAGAGACACUGCACCUCAGCUGGAGUGUCCCUGAGAAAACGAAAGAUGUCAUUAAGGAGUACCAGCUCUGGCUGGGUGGGCGAGGGCUCAUCUACACAGACACAAGUGACAGGCGGCAGCAUACGGUCACAGGUCUUCAGCCAUACACAACCUACAGCUUCACACUUGCAGCUUGUACAUCUGCGGGAUGUACUUCCAGUGAGCCCUCUGUAGGUCAGACCCUGCAGGCUGCCCCUCAAGGAGUUUGGGUGACACCUCGACACAUCAUCAUCAAUUCUACAACUGUGGAAUUAUAUUGGAAUCCUCCAGAAAAGCCCAACGGCCUCAUUUCUCAAUAUCAGCUGAGGCGUAAUGGAAGCUUGCUUCUCGUGGGCAGCAGUGAUGAACAGAAUUUCACUGAUAAAAACCUGGAACCCAACAGCAGGUAUGUUUACAAGUUAGAAGCAAAAACUGGAGGAGGCAGCAGUGUGAGCGAGGAUUACGUUGUCCAGAUGCCUGUGUGGACCCCAGAAGAUGUCCGUCCCCCAUGCAAUGUCACUGCACUGGGCUCUGAUUCCAUAUUUGUAGCAUGGCCAACACCAGGGAUCCUGGUUCCCCAGAUUCCGGUGGAGUACAGCAUCUUACUCAGUGGUGGAGGUGUGAUGCUUUUGGCCUUCUCUGUUGGACGCCGUCAAUCUGCCCAUCUGAAACACCUGACUCCAUUCACACAGUAUGAAAUAAGGAUACAAGCCUGCCAAAACGGAGGCUGUGGAGUUAGCAGUAGGAUGUAUGUCAGGACGCAGGAAGCAGCCCCAGUGGGUCUCGCGUCCCCUCUUCUGAAGGCUCUGGGGUCAUCUCGCAUAGAGGUUAAGUGGAUGCCACCUCAAAGGCCCAAUGGAGUCAUCACUGGAUAUGUCAUUCACAGACGUCCUGCUGCCACGGAAGAGGAGGCUAGCCUCUUUGUCUGGUCAGAAGGCGCUCUUGAGUUCACUGAUGAUGCAGACACCCUGCGGCCUUUUACACUGUAUGAGUACCGAGUUGGAGCCUGGAACUCCAAGGGUGCAGUGGACAGCCUGUGGUCAUCAGUACAGACCCUGGAGGCCCUACCUCAAGGCCUCUCAGCACCAUGGGCCCAAGCCACCAGUGCUCAUUCAGUCCUGCUCAACUGGACGGAGCCUGCGGCCUCCAAUGGCGUUAUCCUCCAGUACCACGUGGUCUACCAAGAGCAACCAGAGGAGGCAACCCCUAAGAGCUCUACUGUGCAUGCUUUCACAGUGAUGGGAAUAAGCCAUGAAGCCCAUCUUUUUGGGUUAGAACCAUUCACAACAUACCACAUGGGCGUGGUCGCUGUGAACAGUGCAGGACAAGUGUCAAGCCCCUGGACUCUGAUUAAAACUUUAGAAUCUUCCCCAAGUGGACUGAUCAACUUCACAGUGGACCAGAGAGAUAAUGGCCGGGCUUUGCUGCUCCAGUGGUCGGAGCCAGUGAGAACCAAUGGAGUGAUCAAGACAUACAACAUCUUCAGCGAUGGGCUCCUGGAGUAUUCUGGCCUGGGUCGACAGUUUCUCUUCCGGCGCUUGGCCCCCUUCACCCUCUACACUCUGACCCUGGAGGCCUGCACGGCAGCAGGCUGUGCUCACUCAGGGCCCCAGCCUCUCUGGACAGAGGAAGCCCCUCCAGAGUCUCAGUUGGCUCCUACCAUCCAGGCUGUGGAGUCCACCAGUGUAAGGCUAAACUGGUCUCAGCCAGCUAACCCAAAUGGGAAGAUAAUUCGUUAUGAAGUGGUUCGCAGAUCCUUGGAAAGAGAGGAUUGGAGGAAUGGGACAACUCAGGUGGAUGGGAACAUUGUUUUCACGGAACACGACACAGAAAGGGACUCGUGGGUGUAUAAUGACACUGGUCUACAGCCAUGGAGGCAAUAUGCUUAUAGAAUCUGCACUUGGAAUUCUGCAGGGCACACUUGUAGCUCUUGGACUUUGGUAAGGUCAUUGCAAGCACCCCCAGAGGGCCUUUCCCCACCUGAAAUAUCCUAUGUGUCUAUGGAUCCUCCCAAACUGCUGAUUUCCUGGAUCCCACCCCAACACUCGAACGGCGUUAUCCAGUCCUACAGACUUCAAAGGAAUGGAGUGUCCUACCCUCUCAGUUUCAAUGCCAGUACCUUCAACUACACCGACAGCCAGCUGCUUCCCUUUUCAACGUACAGUUAUGCAGUUCUCGCCUGCACCAGUGGCGGCUGCUGUGCCAGCAGAACCAACGCCAUCACCACUCCUGAAGCACCUCCAUCAGGAGUCAGCCCUCCAGCUCUUUGGGCCAUCGGUGCUAGCCAGAUAAAUGUGUCUUGGUCCCCGCCAUCAGUGCAAAAUGGAAAGAUUACUAAAUAUUUACUUAGAUGUAAUGGUCAGGAGUACAUGGCUGGACAGGGCCAGUCCUUUCUGCUUUCCAACCUGCAGCCUUUUACUCAAUACAACAUCUCACUUGUGGCCUGUACAAAGGGAGGAUGCACUGCUAGUCAGACUGCAUCUACUUGGACAACGGAGGCCCCACCAGAGAACAUGGAUCCCCCAAUACUGCAAGUCACAGGCUCAGAAUCAAUAGAAAUUACAUGGAAACCUCCAAGAAAGCCACAUGGCCAGAUCAGAAGUUAUGAGCUUCGGAGAGAUGGAGCCAUUGUGUAUACAGGGCUGGAAACUCGCUACCAUGAUUUCACCCUUACCCCGGGUGUAGAAUACGGCUACUCAGUGACUGCCACCAACAGUCAGGGAAGUGCCCUGAGCCCACUUGUCAAGGAUCAAACCAGCCCCUCAGCCCCCUCAGGCUUACAGCCUCCAAAGCUGCAUCCUGGGGAUGCUCUUGAAAUCUUAGUGGAUUGGGACUCUCCUGUGAGGACAAACGGUGAGAUCAUCAAUUAUACCCUCUUCAUCCGUGAGCUGUUUGAAAAAGAAAUCCAAACAAUUUGCAUUAAUACGACACACAGUUCUUUUGAUACACGGUCCCUGACAGUAAAGCACCUGAAGCCAUUUCACAGGUAUGAAAUUCGUGUCCAAGCCUGCACUGCCCUGGGAUGUGCCUCCAGCGACUGGGCAUUGACCCAGACCACAGAGGUACCACCUCUCAUGCAACCAGCCCCACAUUUGGAGGUGCAGACAGCUGCAGGGGGAUUCCAGCCCUUAGUAGCUGUGUGGUGGACAGGACCACUUGAACCAAAUGGAAAAAUCAUAUACUUCGAAUUAUACAGAAGACAAACAGCAACUCAACCUGGGAAGUCCAGCCCAUUGUUAACCUACAAUGGAAGCUUAAACUCAUUUACGGAUUCAGAGCUGUUACCUUUCACAGAGUAUGAAUAUCAGGUAUGGGCAGUGAAUUCUGCAGGAAAAGCCCCAAGUAACUGGACUCGGUGUAGAACUGGACCAGCCCCACCAGAAGGGAUCAAAGCGCCCACAUUCCACACUGUCUCCUCCACCCAAGCAGUGGUCAACAUCAGCACACCAGAGAGACCCAAUGGGAACAUCAGCCUCUACCGGCUGUUCUCCAACUCCAGCAGGACCCACAUUGUGGUGAGUACACGCUAUCUGAAGGCAUGACCACUCAGCAGACCCUACAUGACCUGAGACCCUUCACCACAUAUGCCAUUGGGGUUGAGGCCUGCACCUGUUUCAUCUGUUGCAGCAGAGGGCCAACAGCCGAGCUGAGGACCCACCCGGCCCCACCCUCAGGGCUGUCUCCACCUCAGGUGCAGACACUGGGCUCAAGGAUGGCCUCCGUGCAGUGGACACCCCCUCAGCUCCCUAAUGGUGUCAUUCACAGCUAUGAACUGCAGCUGCACCAGCCUUGUCCUCCUGAUUCAGCCCCACCCUGCCAUCCCAGCCACACAGAGACCAAGUAUCGGGGUCCUGGGCACAGAGCCAGCCUGGUGGGGCUGCAGCCUUAUACUACCUACAGGGUGCAAGUGGUGGCCCACAACGAGGCAGGCAGCAUGGCUUCUGGGUGGACCAGCUUCAGCACCAAGAAGGAAAUGCCUCAGUACCAAGCCCCGUUCUUGGUGGACAGCAAUGAAUCCACGGUAUGUGUAGACUGGAGUGGUACCUUCCUCUUGAAUGGCCAGUUAAAGGAGUACGUGGUCACCGAUGGAGGACAGCAGGUAUACAGUGGCCUGGACACCACUCUCUACAUACCAAGGACAGCGGAUAAAACUUUCUUCUUCCAGGUCACCUGCACAACAGACAUUGGAAGUGUUAAGACUCCACCGUUCCGGUAUGAUGCCUCUACUGAAUUUGGCCCAGUGCUGACAACUCCUGGAGAAAAGAAGGGAGCAGGGACCAAAAGCACAGAGUUCUACACCGAGCUGUGGUUCAUUGUGGUAAUGGCAGUGCUAGGCCUGAUCUUGAUGGCCAUUUUUCUGUCCUUGAUUCUACAAAGAAAAAUCCACAGGGAGCCAUGUAUCAGAGAGAGACCUCCCUUAGUGCCUCUUCAGAAACGAAUGACCCCACUGAGUGUCUACCCUCCAGGGGAAACACAUGUGGGAUUAGCCGAUACCAGAAUCCCUCGGUCUGGGACACCUUUGAGUAUUCGGAGCAGCCGAAGUGUGUCUGUACUGAGGAUCCCAAGUCAAAGCCAAAUCAGCCAGGCCUACUCCCAGGACUCUCUCCACCGCAGUGUCAGCCAGCUCAUGGACAUUCCAGACAAGAAGGACUUGGCAGAUGACGCGCUCUGGGAAACUAUUAUGGGCCACAGCAGUGGACUG